CUCCAGGACUCCAGAUACAAGCCUAAGUGCCUGGUUCACUACUGUAUUCUGCUUCAUGUUAUCUCUUUUGAAGAAAAGCCUAGUUGGGUUUCAUAUUUCAAAACUUUUUCUUGUGAAAUCUCUCAUCCACUUCAUCUCUAAUUGAAAAUGCCUCGCUCUGGAAAUCACAAACUUUUGUUGUUUGUUUGAUUCAAAAUAAAUCAAAGUGACUUAAUUUUGACCACUCACAUGAAGACUGAAAACCUUUAUAACCAUCAUGGAAAUUACAGAAGAUGCACAUUACAACUAGCAAGGGUGAGGACGGUGUAGCUUCGUCUCCUUCCUCUCUCAGACGUAUCGUAGAGAAGAUGGAUCUUUCCUUCCGCCAUCUCUGCUAAUUGAUGAUGUUUGAGCUCUUCCUUGGGGAAGACAUCAGCAGUUCAUUCACUGCAGUUGCCAAUCAUUGAAUCAGAAACCAGAAGACUUAAAUACAUUCCUGAGAGACUCUCAUGAAGACGGAAUUAAAAUGCUCCCUAACUGCUGAUACCUUAUGGGAAUUCCAGGGAAGUAGAUGCAGGGAUGGCAGUUUCCCAACAGUCAGAUGCACCUGUUCUACUGAGAUUUUUUUCAUUUAUUAUUUCAAAUUCAAGAGCUUAUGAAAAUAAGUUCGUAUACUGUCAGGCUCAAAACGAAUAUUUGCAAGAUGGAGGAAGACAAAAAGACCUAGAGGAUCCUGAAGCUUUUCCCCACCUAAACAGUGUCCACAGAUACAACUUCUUGGGUGUUCAAAAUUUUAUAAGCCAGUUAAGUAUGCUCUAAUCACAUUUGGAAUGGGCGAAAGGUAUGGUUUCCUUUUGAAAACAAGAAAGGUGAUUGUGAACUCAAUUGAACACAGAUCGUGAACAUUUCCAGGCAGUUUUAGAAAAGGGUAUGGGCCUAUUAUCUAACAAGGGCAUUCUGCCGCUUGUCAAGUCUGUCUCUCCUAAUGGCAUAUGCAAAAGUGGGAAAUGAAAUCCAGAUACAUUUGUGGACCCACUGGAUACACCAGGCAACAGAGUCAGGCCAGAAACCUGUUUAUUACCCAGCUCUGCUAUGUCCCCACUGUGACUGCUGGAUUUCAAGGCAACUUGACUCCCUCAGGAUUUGUGUCGGCUCAGAGUCAGGAGUCAGUCAUCACAAAUAGCCUACAUCCUUUUCUGAAAGGCACAGUUUCUCUACCUGAUGACUUCAGCUCCCUUUGAGAAAGGAUAGAAGGAGGAUUAACAGUAUACAUUCAUGACAGCAUAGCAGGUUGUUUUCCCGAGAGAACCCACUAUCCUUCCAUCCUGCAGAGGGUGUCUCCAAGGUGGUGAUGCUUCCCUCACCAAAAUACUCCUUCAUGCUUCUUUGGAAAGAAUGUCCUGUGAGCUCUCCUAGGACACACAAUGAGGAGGUGGGUGAGUCACUCACACAUUAUAAAUCUACUCCAACAUUCCUGUUUCCCUAAGCCUUUAGAUUUAUCCUUCUACAUUAUAACAAGGAAAUACGACAUCUCAGCUUCCUUUGAUGUAGACUAACACAGAGUCCCGGUUUCGUGAGCAAAUCAUGAGAGCACUUCCCAGUUGCUUAAGCUAACAUAUGGAAUUCAGAAUCUCUCAUGAGGACAACCAUAUUGAUAUAUUUGGCCCUUCCAAAAUUAUUUUCCUUCCACCAUGGACAAAUACACUUAUAUUCCAUUUCUACUCAUGUAUCUUAAUUUCUGCUGAUACAAGCUAACCACAUUUUGCAAUUAUUUCAGAGUAUAAACUGAUCCCUCUCAUGUCAGACUUAGUACUCAUUUCCCUUGGUUAGGUUGGACCAGAAUGUACUAUGGGUCUGGAGGCUGCGUGGAUCUUUUGAAUAUAAGCAUCCCUUGCAACGUAAGGUUGUUACAGUAUCCUCAAGCUAGAAGAAGCUAGCUUCCUCAGAGAGGGGUUGAGGAGAAGUAUUUGCUGGUGAGGAAGUCUUAAAGGAAUUUAUGGGGAGGUUCAGAUACUCAGAUUCAUCUGAAUCCACCCAAAUUUCUUCAUUCCAAUUCUCAGGGAAUCAUUCCUUUUCUAUUAAUGAUCUAACACUCACAUAAGAAAUUGAUAAGGGUGAGAAAUCAAAUUGAUUCAUAAAAUAAAGAUAUUAUUUUAUGGUAAUCAUAGAAUUCCCUUUCUUAGCUGCUCUUAACUGUACUGGAGGUGUUUAUUUGUAUUCUACCAAUUCUCUAAUGUAAUCAAAAUAGGUAGCAUACUCCAUAGUGCCAAUAGCGAUAUUCCCACCAUGAGUCUUUUGAAGAAGCCACUUGGUUUCCCAAAGUUUUCUAUUUGACAGGCACAUAAUUCCAGGGACCAUUUGGGGCUUAAGACUUACCAAAAAAAAAGUCCUCAUUGUGGAUACUAUUGUAGGUUUUAGUGGAUAAUGAAAGUAUUUUAAGUAAAUGCCAGUGUUCAAUUCAUCAUCUCUACCCAGAAGUGACAUAUCUCAGUAUGUUGAGUUUUGUAGGCAAUUUAUCUUUUGGCUUAGAUACUCUGCUUACAAUCAGAAUUUUACCACCAGGAAGUGAGGCUUUGGCUUUGAAGAGGCACAAUGUAAAGUGUUUGACUAAGUGUGAAUAUCAGAGAAAGCCCAAAUUUCUUGUAUACUGAUUAUAAUGCAUUAAUUAAAAUGUGCUGUCAUUUAAAAAGCAAAGUCACAGUUGCUGAGCAGAAAAUGGGAGGUUAAGCAAUACAAUUUGUGUCUUUAUUACCAUCCUCAAGGAUCAUCAAAGACUUCCUUAUGAUGUUCUUGAAGGCUCUGAGCUUGCUGACUGUGUACCCUUUGUCUUACUCUACCAGGUUCAUUCUUUUUCUGACCAAUUUAAGGCUUCAAAAGAUUAUAAACAGUGCAUUUCAGGAGAAAAAAA
rnacentral:lncRNA from 1 species